rnacentral:rRNA from 1 species
UAACGCGUGGGAAUCUGCCCUGGAGUGGGGGAUAACCGAGGGAAACCUCGGCUAAUACCGCAUACGUCCUGAGGGAGAAAGAUUUAUCGCUCUAGGAGGGGCCCGCGUCGGAUUAGCUAGUUGGUGGGGUAACGGCCUACCAAGGCGAUGAUCCGUAGCUGGUCUGAGAGGAUGAUCAGCCACACUGGGACUGAGACACGGCCCAGACUCCUACGGGAGGCAGCAGUGGGGAAUAUUGGACAAUGGGCGCAAGCCUGAUCCAGCAAUGCCGCGUGAGUGAUGAAGGCCUUAGGGUUGU